GAUUAACGCUGGCGGCGUGCUUAACACAUGCAAGUCGAGCGGGAAACUUCGGUUUCCAGCGGCGGACGGGUGAGUAACACGUGGGCAACCUGCCUCACAAUGAGGGAUAGCCUUCCGAAAGGAAGAUUAAUACCUCAUAACACAAGAGAAACGCAUGUUUCUUUUGCCAAAGAAUUUCGUUGUGAGAUGGGCCCGCGGCGCAUUAGCUUGUUGGUGAGGUAACGGCUCACCAAGGCUUCGAUGCGUAGCCGACCUGAGAGGGUGAUCGGCCACAUUGGAACUGAGACACGGUCCAGACUCCUACGGGAGGCAGCAGUGGGGAAUAUUGCACAAUGGAGGAAACUCUGAUGCAGCAACGCCGCGUGAGUGAUGAAGGUCUUCGGAUUGUAAAGCUCUGUCUUCUGGGACGAUAAUGACGGUACCAGAGGAGGAAGCCAUGGCUAACUACGUGCCAGCCGCCGCCGUAA
rnacentral:rRNA from 1 species